GUUUGGUUUGCCAUCACUUUUUGUGACUUUUCUGACAUCUGCAAGUGUCGGAAGUGUGACCUGAAACAUUUAAGGACACUUCUGCCUGAACCAUGGGCAGAUGUUUAGACUCCAAGAUACAGAGGAGGAGGGUCUUGGAGGUUUCUUAGUAUAAGUUCCUCCCUGUGGUACUUGCAGUUCCUACAAGGGGCUGUCAGAGAAACAAGCCGGAGCAGAAGAGCAAGACAUGGUCCUGGUGCAUGAAAGGAGCCUAAGAAAGAAGAGUGAAAGCUGCACGUGUGUGAGUAUCUAGCAGAACAUCUAGAAAAUGCACACCAACCUCCAGCAGCAGAAAACAGUCUACCUCCAGAAAGCCAUAAAAGAGAAAAGAAUGUUGUACCAAACUAAGCAAAUGAAGCAUGAAAUGAAAAGCCGGUUGAGCUGGGAGGUAUAAAGAAUGGAAAGGAAGCAGCUACCACCCCUGGUAACCCCAUCAAUCCGGAGAAGCUUCGCAGAGUUACACUGUGCUCUGUCGGGAAGGAAAUGAAUUUUCCUCAUUGUACACAUUCCGAGAAAAAUGAGGCUAAGACUAUUUCAAAGGAUGUUCUACCUAAUUCGAAUGGGCUUUAAGUGCCAUCUUCACAAUAGCGCCAGAGUCUGGUGUCAGCAAACUGAACAAAUAGAGCUACAGGGAGCGAAUGGGGCUGGGUGCCUCUCCAAAACAUAUGCAGAUGAACUUGAGAUUUCAGAGGACGGUUAAUCCUACACAGCAGUCAAGUGCCUUCCCAGGGGGCUCCCUUCCAAACACUGGCUGCCACGUCAAACCAAAGGGGACGAGCAAUCAGACUCACCUCAAACGCCAGUUAAGAAAGCCGGCCUUACUUAAGCAAUCAAGGGCAAGUGAUCAGCCAACUCUGCUUUCUUUCCUUUCUCUUGGAUCAUUUAUAGACCUUGUGGCCGUGGCCACCACAUUGAGAAGCCCUUGGUCUCUACUUGGACUCACUAUAGCAGAGCAUCCUGGCAGGCAUCCACUGUGCCAUAUGCUUUCGGGAAGUCUGGAUGCUGAAUGUGGUGGCUGUGGGGAAUUGAGCCUUAUUGCUUCAUAAGAUUCCUGGUGGUAGAACUAUUCUGAACAAGAACACGUCCGUCCCCAUAGGUGUGCUCCAAGAAUCACAGAAUAAGAAGGGACUUCGGAGAGAGCCUCACACAGUUGGGCAAUGGGAGCCCAGAGAGGCAAGGAAGGCUCCUUGCCCAAAGUCUUGUACAUCUGAAUCUGCAACUCCUGACUAUUUUUGAGUCUUAUGCUCCAGGCUAAAACUUGUGACUUUAAGUGUGAUGUUCUCGGUGAUGAUUAAUCUAGGAUGUUUCUGUUGUUUUCUUACCGUCAAAGAAUUAACAUCAAAAGGAAAGGAAGGAAGAAAUGUAGAAGUGAAGGCAAGAAGGAAGGAAGGAGGAAAGGAAGGAAGGAAAAUAUAGGCUUUGGGUAAAAAUAAGUUUCUACUCAACACUGACAAAGGUACAGGUUUUGGACAUUGGUUUCCUAAUCUGUAAAUGAGGAAUAGUCAUCACAUCGCUGUCCUGGCUGGUUUUGUGUGUCAACUUGACACAAGCUGGAGUUAUCACAGAGAAAGGAAAGAAAAUGCCUCCAUGAGAUCUAGCUGUAAAUGGAUUAGUGAUCAAGAGUGGGAGGGCCCAGUGUGGGUGGUGCCAUCCCUGGACUGGUGGUCCUGGGUUCUACAAGAAAACAAGCUGAGCAAGCCAGGGGAAGCAAGCCAGGGGAACAUCCCUCCACGGCUCUGCAUCAGCUCCUGCUUCCUGCCCUGUGUGAGUUCCAGUCCUGACUUCCUUUGGUGACGAACAGCAAUGUGAUAGUAUAAGCUGAAUAAACCCUUUCCUCCCCAAC
rnacentral:lncRNA from 1 species